UCAAACUGCUGGCAAAAUAUUCCUUAACCAAGCUGUGUCAUGAACACCCAUUUUUUGAGACUGAGGAACAUAUUUGCACCUGAGAUACGAAGUGAGGCAUGUCCAAGUUAUAUCAAAAGCAACCUGUCUGGACUUGGCUAAUGACCUGUUGGACCUUUUGUGUCAGCCUACAGGAGGAAUUCUUCAUGAACAGAAGUUGUCUUGGAAAUAAGCUGCUAUCCCAGCAACAAAGGGCCGUAACCAGGUGGUUGGGCACGAAUUCUCUGAAAAUGAAAUAAUCUCCAAAAUGCUAUUCCUGGUUGACUUGUGUGUAAACAUCUAUUCAGCGUGGUUGCAAGGCAUGCACCAUCAUAGAGAACUCCAGGGCUGCAAUCGGUUUUCAUGACCAAUGAUUGACCAGUCACCAAGGUGGAAACAUCUACAGUCUGGCUGCAUGGCAUGCACCAUCAUAGAGGAGUCCGUGGGUGCGAUUGGUUUUUAUGACCAACGAUUUACCAGUCACCAAGAGUCAUCAAUCAAUGAGGCAUUCUUGCUCUUGGAGCCAAGCUGAAUGUUCACCAAUGCAUACAGUCUGUCUCUCAAGGCCCAAGUUAAUACACAAAACAAAUGAAGCUUGAGAAGCUCCUGGUGUGCUGUUUCAGGAGUCCUAGGAUUCUUUUUCAAAUGGAGAAGUUUUGUCCUGCUCUACAAACAUGAGCGCAUCAGGCU